rnacentral:rRNA from 1 species
GUCGAGCGGAGAUGAGGUGCUUGCACCUUAUCUUAGCGGCGGACGGGUGAGUAAUGCUUAGGAAUCUGCCUAUUAGUGGGGGACAACAUUCCGAAAGGGAUGCUAAUACCGCAUACGUCCUACGGGAGAAAGCAGGGGAUCUUCGGACCUUGCGCUAAUAGAUGAGCCUAAGUCGGAUUAGCUAGUUGGUGGGGUAAAGGCCUACCAAGGCGACGAUCUGUAGCGGGUCUGAGAGGAUGAUCCGCCACACUGGGACUGAGACACGGCCCAGACUCCUACGGGAGGCAGCAGUGGGGAAUAUUGGACAAUGGGGGGAACCCUGAUCCAGCCAUGCCGCGUGUGUGAAGAAGGCCUUAUGGUUGUAAAGCACUUUAAGCGAGGAGGAGGCUACUGAGACUAAUACUCUUGGAUAGUGGACGUUACUCGCAGAAUAAGCACCGGCUAACUCUGUGCCAGCAGCCGCGGUAAUACAGAGGGUGCGAGCGUUAAUCGGAUUUACUGGGCGUAAAG